AUUGAACGCUGGCGGCAGGCUUAACACAUGCAAGUCGAGCGGAGAUGAGGUGCUUGCACCUUAUCUUAGCGGCGGACGGGUGAGUAAUGCUUAGGAAUCUGCCUAUUAGUGGGGGACAACAUUCCGAAAGGAAUGCUAAUACCGCAAACGUCCUACGGGAGAAAGCAGGGGAUCUUCGGACCUUGCGCUAAUAGAUGAGCCUAAGUCGGAUUAGCUGGUUGGUGGGGUAAAGGCCUACCAAGGCGACGAUCUGUAGCGGGUCUGAGAGGAUGAUCCGCCAAACUGGGACGGAGACACGGCCCAGACUGCUACGGGAGGCAGCAGUGGGGAAUAUUGGACAAUGGGGGAAACCCUAAUCCAGCCAUGCCGCGUGUGUGAAGAAGGCCUUAUGGUUGUAAAGCACUUUAAGCGAGGAGGAGGCUACUGAGACUAAUACUCUUGGAUAGUGGACGUUACUCGCAGAAUAAGCACCGGCUAACUCUGUGCCAGCAGCCGCCGUAA
rnacentral:rRNA from 1 species